AUUGAACGCUGGCGGAAUGCUUUACACAUGCAAGUCGAACGGUAGAGGGGGCAACCCCUCGAGAGUGGCGAACGGGUGAGUAAUAUAUCGGAACGUGCCCAGUCGUGGGGGAUAACGUAGCGAAAGUUACGCUAAUACCGCAUACGAUCCAAGGAUGAAAGCGGGGGACUCGCAAGAGCCUCGCGCGAUUGGAGCGGCCGAUAUCAGAUUAGGUAGUUGGUGGGGUAAAGGCUCACCAAGCCAACGAUCUGUAGCUGGUCUGAGAGGACGACCAGCCACACUGGAACUGAGACACGGUCCAGACUCCUACGGGAGGCAGCAGUGGGGAAUUUUGGACAAUGGACGCAAGUCUGAUCCAGCCAUUCCGCGUGCAGGAUGAAGGCCCUCGGGUUGUAAACUGCUUUUGUACGGAACGAAAAGGUUUCCAUUAAUACUGGGAGCUCAUGACGGUACCGUAAGAAUAAGCACCGGCUAACUACGUG
rnacentral:rRNA from 1 species